rnacentral:hammerhead_ribozyme from 1 species
AUCCAGCUGAUGAGUCCCAGAUUAAACGAAACGCGCGUCCUGGAU